CAGCGCCACGAGUGGCAAUCACGAUUAUUGGGCCUAAAGCGUCCGUAGCCGGUUCGGUAAAUCCUUUGUGAAAUCGCCAGGCUUAACCUGGCGGCGUGCAGGGGACACUGCCGAACUCGAGACCGGGAGGAGUUAGAAGUAUUUCUGGGGGAGCGGUAAAAUGCUAUAAUCCCAGAAGGACUACCUAUGGCGAAGGCAUCUAACUAGAACGGAUCUGACGGUGAGGGACGAAAGCCAGGGGAGCGAACCGGAUUAGAUACCCGAGUAGUCC
rnacentral:rRNA from 1 species